GGUUCUACAAACCCUUAUGUGCAGUUUCUGUUGCGCUGUACACAAGCAAUCUCCGGGAUCAGUCUUCUGGGAUACAUUAAUUGCCUUUGAUCUGGAUUAUGCCUUUCCUAAGACAUGUACCUUCCUAGAGGUGCAAGCCUCAGGAAUCUGACCCAGUGCUGCACCUACCUGAGGUGGAGUUUUUCAGUAGGCAUAAGCCGAUGCCUCUUUAUAUGCCUGCCAAGGAAGCUGGUAGUGCCAUCCACCCUUGAUUUCAUGACUUCAUGCCUGCAGCAGCCCAGCUGGAUUAAGAGAGCUAGAAGUUCUUCACCCUUUUCAACCAGAAAACAACAAAUCCCACAUCUUCUGCGAGUAAUUGUGAUAUUGCAAAUUCCUGCAGUAUUCAUCAGAUACAAAUCAAACUCAAAAGCUUAAUCAGCUCCUGAGACCCACCCCUAUUACACAGGCUGGAGAUUUGCCAGUGAGCCCUGCAGCUUGUUUGCCACCCACUGCUCCCAGCAUGCCUGUACAGACACACCACACGAUGCAGCAGAGUGGAGAGGCUGAAGCUGCACAAUUCUCUCUGAAAUGCUGCUGUUCCCACCCAUCCAUGCACUGUGCUCCCCUCUUGUCUGCAAAGACACAGAGAUCAUCUUGUGGUGGUGGCACUUACAUUUAAUGCCGCUACAGAGAACAUUGAUCCUGUGAAUUCAAUGCCUGAAAAGGUUCAGCAAAAUAUGUUCUGAGGCAAAUUAAUCUGUCUGAAUCAUAUCUAAUCUUUCUGAAGAAACACUUACAUGCUUUGCAUUUAGACAGCCUUGUCUCUGUGUUUUCUCAGUCCAGUGCAUUAUCUAGUUAAGGGUAAGCUUUUAAAUAAGGAAAUGUCUUGCUUGAGAUUAAAGUGCAUUCUGAACAUAAGUUGAAUCAGGUGCUCUUAGAGUUUUUGUUCCUAGGAGGGUAACCAGCAAUUAAAAUAAAAUGAGAUCAUUCAGUGCUCUACAAUGUGUUUAAAUAGAGAUUUUACAGGCCRAGCGUGUAGUCCUUGCACACACAAAGGUAACUUCAAGGAUUUUAGCAAUACCAGCAAAUAGACAUUUUAUCCCAGGAGGACUAGUAAUAAUGUUGACAUUUCAGCCACACAAUAAAGAAGUUCUGUACCCAAAAUAUUAGUCAUAUUAUUUUCCUGGAGUGAAUACAAACAAGUUACAAUUCUGUGUGCAUGACUGAAAUCCCUGGUGUUACUUUGUUAUGCAAAAACCUUUUAGAAUUGACCAUUAAAAUGUCAGAAAAACCUUUUGCAUCCAAAAAAACYUUCUCCUUCUCAGUACAAUGUUAAUUCAAACACAUUUCUAGAAACAAUACUUUUCCAUUCUACAUGUUGGCUAAAAUUAAUUACUGAAUCUCUGUUAAUAAUCCCAUGAUUAAACAAACUUGAGAUGACAGAUGCACAAAACGUACCAAGGCUAAAAACACAGUUAAAAAACAUGAUGCUGUAUGACAAGUUUUUUUUGUAAAGGGAAGAAGAUGGUACACAAAAGCCAGGAUGAUUUAGUGACAAUACAAUUUUCAGUCAUGAGGAUUAGUAACUUUGUAUGUUUUACCCAGUUCCACAUGCUGCAAUGGUUUUAUUGUAUCUUGCAGUGUUUAAGGUCCGCUGUUAAUUCUCAUUGCUAGUCUCCUGAAGAUGAAAGGCACUAAGGAAUUAACUUUAUAAUUAUGAAAUCUCUUUCAUUUUGUAAAUGUUUUCUUGCUCUCAGCUAGAACAUGGGCCAAGAGGUAUGUCCACUGCUCCUUCUCUACAUCAUCUUUUGAAGGGCAAUACCACCAACACCUGGAGGUGGAACUGAAAUGCUUGGGCAGCCAUGUGGAGAUAUCCAUUUCACAUUGCCAACAUUGUCAGAGCAGGAUGGAGAAUCUGGAAGAGGUGAGGAAAGAGACACAAGCCAAGGAAGAUGUGAUAUUUUUGAGUCACCUGAACAUCAAACACAAAAUCUGCAGUGAAGAGAUGCUCCAUCUAAGUACAUAAUCUCUCAGUAUCCUUUCCUUAUGAACUCCUUUCUUCCUUUUCUGUGGCUGGGAAGACACCAGCAGGUAUAGGCAAUGCAAAUUAUCUCUUUUAUUUGUCCUCAGGAAAUUCUCUAUUCUAUUAAGGUUGUUUCAUCUUCAUCUUGAGUUACUGAUACAUCAAGAGAGCCAAGAACCUGGCUCUCAGUAGGUGCACACAGGAGAUUUAUAUAAGCAUGAAGGCAUUUUUACUGGAUUCAGCUUUGCAAAGUUUUGAAGUUCUGUUGCAGAUUCAGCAUCAUAGCUCUUGUGUAUCCAGAAAGAUAAAAUACAGCUGUUCCUCCUUGUUACAGUGCUACUCACAGUUAGAUUUCCCUUACAAAUUGUUCUUAGAACAAUCCUCAUGGAGAACUUUAACUAAGGCAUUCAUGUACAGUAGAAGUCACAAACCUAGGAAAAAUGCCUUUCUAAACACUAUUCAGUCAAGGUAGUUACAAGAAGAGCCCUAAAUGUUUGUUUG